AACUGCCUAGUACGGAUUGUGUCACGCUGAACCUCCCCAGGACAGGAAUGUAGCAAGGAUAAGCGAUCGAGAUGAUGGUGUGCUAGGCAUUUUUA
rnacentral:SRP_RNA from 1 species